rnacentral:snRNA from 1 species
AUACUUACCUGGCAGGGGAGAUACCAUGAUCAAGAAGGUGGUUCACCAUGGCGAGGCUGGCAUUGCACUCCGGUGGGGCCUUGACCUAUGCGAAUUCCCCCAAAUGUGGGAAUUCUCGACUGCAUAUUUGUGGUAGUGGGGACUGCGUUCGCGCUCUCCCUC